rnacentral:rRNA from 1 species
GCUGUCGUCAGCUCGUGUUGUGAAAUGUUGGGUUAAGUCCCGCAACGAGCGCAACCCCUAUUGAUAGUUACCAUCAUUAAGUUGGGUACUCUAUUGAGACUGCCGCUGACAAGGCGGAGGAAGGUGGGGACGACGUCAAGUCAUCAUGGCCCUUACGACCAGGGCUACACACGUGCUACAAUGGGUAUUACAGAGGGAUGCGAAGGUGCGAGCUGGAGCGAAACUCAGAAAGGUACUCUUAGUCCGGAUU